rnacentral:rRNA from 1 species
UACGAAGGGGGCUAGCGUUGCUCGGAAUCACUGGGCGUAAAGGGUGCGUAGGCGGGUUCUUAAGUCAGAGGUGAAAUCCUGGAGCUCAACUCCAGAACUGCCUUUGAUACUGAGAGUCUUGAGUUCGGGAGAGGUGAGUGGAACUGCGAGUGUAGAGGUGAAAUUCGUAGAUAUUCGCAAGAACACCAGUGGCGAAGGCGGCUCACUGGCCCGAUACUGACGCUGAGGCACGAAAGCGUGGGGAGCAAACAGGA